rnacentral:tRNA from 1 species
GCUUUUAUGGUGUAGUGGUAACACUGCGGACUUUGACUUUAACGAAGACGAUCCGCCACCCUAGGUUCGAAUCCUAGUAGAAGCU